UACGUAGGGGGCCAGCGUUGUCCGGAUUCAUUGGGCGUAAAGCGCGUGUAGGCGGCCAGGUAGGUCCGAUGUGAAAUCUGGAGGCUCAACCUCCAGCGGUCAUUGGAAACCAUCUGGCUAGAGUCCGGAAGAGGAGGAGUGGAAUUCCUGGUGUAGCGGUGAAAUGCGUAGAUAUCUGGAGGAACACCGGUGGCGAAGGCGGCAUCCUGGACCAACACUGACGCUGAGGAGCGAAAGCCAGGGGAGCAAAGCGGG
rnacentral:rRNA from 1 species